rnacentral:rRNA from 1 species
CCCUUAGAUGUUCUGGGCCGCACGCGCGCUACACUGACGAUGGCAACGAGUUUUUCCUUCGCCGAAAGGUGUGGGUAAUCUUUUGAAACAUCGUCGUGCUGGGGAUAGAUCAUUGCAAUUUUUGAUCUUGAACGAGGAAUUCCUAGUAAGCGCGAGUCAUCAGCUCGCGUUGAUUACGUCCAUGCCCUUUGUACACACCGCCCGUCGCUACUACCGAUUGAAUGGUUUAGUGAGGACUCCUGAUUGGCGCCGCCGCCCCGGCAACGGAGCAGCGGACUGCCGAAAAGUUGUUCAAACUUGAUCAUUUAGAGGAAGUAAAAGUCGUAACA